rnacentral:rRNA from 1 species
AGCGAACGCUGGCGGCAGGCCUAACACAUGCAAGUCGAGCGCCGUAGCAAUACGGAGCGGCAGACGGGAGCGUAACACGUGGGAACGUACUCUUCAGUACGGAACAACCCAGGGCAACUUGGGCUAAUACCGUAUACGUCCGUAAGGAGAAAGAUUUAUCGCUGAAGGAUCGGCCCGCGUCUGAUUAGCUUGUUGGUCAGGUAACGGCUCACCAAGGCGACGAUCAGUAGCUGGUCUGAGAGGAUGAUCAGCCUCACUGGGACUGUGACACGGCCCAGACUCCUACGGGAGGCAGCAGUGGGGAAUAUUGGAGGAUGGGCGCUAGCCUGAUCCAGCCAUGCCGCGUGGGUGAGGAAGGCCCUAGGGUUGUAAAGCCCUUUCGGCAGGGAAGCUAAUGACGGUACCCGCAGAAGAAGCCCCGGCUAGCUUCGUGCCAGCCGCCGCGGUAAGAC